CGUGCUUAACACAUGCAAGUCGAGCGAGAACGUCGACUUCGGUCGACUAGUAAAGCGGCGAACGGGUGAGUAACACGUGGGCAACCUGCCCUGGAGUGGGGGAUAACCUGGGGAAACUCGGGCUAAUACCGCAUACGACCUCAGCACUGCGGUGCUGAGGGGAAAGCUGGCCAAUUCAUGAAAGCUAGCGCUCCUGGAGGGGCCCGCGCCCGAUUAGCUUGUUGGUGAGGUAACGGCUCACCAAGGCAGUGAUCGGUAGCCGGCCUGAGAGGGCGAUCGGCCACACUGGGACUGAGACACGGCCCAGACUCCUACGGGAGGCAGCAGUGGGGAAUAUUGGACAAUGGGCGCAAGCCUGAUCCAGCAACGCCGCGUGGAGGACGAAGGCCUUCGGGUCGUAAACUCCUGUCAGUUGGGACGAAAAGUCGUCGGUCAAUAGCCGGCGAUCAUGACGGUACCAGCAGAGGAAGCCCCGGCUAACUCCGUG
rnacentral:rRNA from 1 species